rnacentral:rRNA from 1 species
UACGAAGGGGGCUAGCGUUGUUCGGAAUCACUGGGCGUAAAGCGCACGUAGGCGGAUUGUUAAGUCGGGGGUGAAAUCCUGAGGCUCAACUCCAGAACUGCCCUUGAUACUGGCGGUCUCGAGUCCGGGAGAGGUGAGUGGAACUGCGAGUGUAGAGGUGAAAUUCGUAGAUAUUCGCAAGAACACCAGUGGCGAAGGCGGCUCACUGGCCCGGUACUGACGCUGAGGUGCGAAAGCGUGGGGAGCAAACAGGAU